AGAUUGGAGUUUGAUUUAGAUUAUUUGGGCUUCUUAAGACGUAACAACAAGGCUUUUUAAAUAUCUGAAAAGGACUUGGAAAGCCAUGGGUUGGUCAAGAUGUUUCUCAGGGUGUGAGAACAUGAGCUUUGAAAUAUAGGGAUAGAGGAAGCAGCAGGAAAAGCCUUGUGGGCUCCCUGGGUCCCCUAGCAAGCCAUUUCUGCUUUGCCUCACAGGGGUCCUUGAUGCGGGCUGCCAGAGACACUAGGAAAAGGCCACAGGAAGAAGGAAACCUCCAGCUGAACUGGUUGGAAUUUCUUUUCUUUAAGAAUGCUAAAAAUAGGCCAAAU
rnacentral:lncRNA from 1 species